rnacentral:lncRNA from 1 species
AAGAAAAUCAAGAAAGCUAUUUUAAGGAUACUAAGGAAGAUCAAAAAGUUAAAUCAAAAAGUUAAAUCAAAUGCUGUAAUAAUCAAACAGAUGGAGCAACAAUUCGGUCAGAUAUUAGCAAUAGUAAAUCAGAGGUAACCGGGAACUCUCCCUAUUAACAUAGUUUAGAAUCCGAAGAAUGAUGCUCAUUGUCAUGUCAUUAACACUCAGAGUCAUAAAACUACCACAAAACAACCUGUUCCUACUAUAGAUGAGCACAAAAAUAAUGAUGAUCGUGUUAAUGUAGAGAGCAAUAUUAAAAGGGAACAAGAAUAAGACAAGGUUAAAAAGUUUGUGUUGAAGCCUAUUUUGACACCCC